rnacentral:tRNA from 1 species
GGGGGAUUAGCUCAGCUGGGAGAGCGCGACAAUGGCAUUGUCGAGGUCACCGGUUCGAGCCCGGUAUCCUCCA